GGGGGAUUAGCUCAGCUGGCUAGAGCACCUGCCCUGCAAGCAGGGGGUCAUCGGUUCGAAUCCGAUAUCCUCCAC
rnacentral:tRNA from 1 species